rnacentral:sRNA from 1 species
UUCCUCAGCCGCCUGUGCCAGGGGGAAGAGCUGCAGUCCGACCGGGAUGAGACCGGGGCCUACCUCAUUGACCGUGACCCCACCUACUUCGGGCCCAUCCUGAACUUCCUCCGGCAUGGCAAGCUGGUGCUGGACAAGGACAUGGCUGAGGAGGGGGUCCUGGAGGAAGCCGAGUUCUACAACAUCGGCCCGCUGAUCCGCAUCAUCAAAGACCGGAUGGAAGAGAAGGACUACACAGUCACCCAGGUCCCGCCCAAACACGUGUACCGCGUGCUGCAGUGCCAGGAGGAGGAGCUCACGCAAAUGGUCUCCACCAUGUCUGAUGGCUGGCGCUUCGAGCAGCUGGUGAACAUCGGCUCCUCCUACAACUACGGCAGCGAGGACCAGGCAGAGUUCCUGUGUGUGGUGUCCAAGGAGCUCCACAGCUCCCCGAACGGGCUGAGCUCAGAGUCCAGCCGCAAAACCAAGGUGAGCCCACCCGCCUCAGCCCGUGUCCAGAGAAGGCUCCUGUCUCCCUCCACCCUCCCCACCUGUCCCACCCCUGCG